GGUUAAGCGACUAAGCGUACACGGUGGAUGCCCUGGCAGUCAGAGGCGAUGAAGGACGUGCUAAUCUGCGAAAAGCGCCGGCGAGGUGAUAUGAACCUUUGACCCGGCGAUGUCCGAAUGGGGAAACCCAGUGCAAUCCGUUGCACUAUCGUUAACUGAAUACAUAGGUUAACGAGGCGAACCGGGGGAACUGAAACAUCUAAGUACCCCGAGGAAAAGAAAUCAACCGAGAUUCCCCCAGUAGCGGCGAGCGAACGGGGAGCAGCCCGGAGUCUGAAUCAGCUUGUGUGUUAGUGGAACGGUCUGGAAAGUCCGACGGUACAGGGUGAUAGUCCCGUACACGAAAGCACACAUGCUGUGAACUCGAAGAGUAGGGCGGGACACGUGGUAUCCUGUCUGAAUAUGGGGGGACCAUCCUCCAAGGCUAAAUACUCCUGACUGACCGAUAGUGAACCAGUACCGUGAGGGAAAGGCGAAAAGAACCCCGGCGAGGGGAGUGAAAAAGAACCUGAAACCGUGUACGUACAAGCAGUGGGAGCCUCUUUAUGGGGUGACUGCGUACCUUUUGUAUAAUGGGUCAGCGACUUAUAUUCUGUAGCAAGGUUAACCGUAUAGGGGAGCCGAAGGGAAACCGAGUCUUAACUGGGCGUUAAGUUGCAGGGUAUAGACCCGAAACCCGGUGAUCUAGCCAUGGGCAGGUUGAAGGUUGGGUAACACUAACUGGAGGACCGAACCGACUAAUGUUGAAAAAUUAGCGGAUGACCUGUGGCUGGGGGUGAAAGGCCAAUCAAACCGGGAGAUAGCUGGUUCUCCCCGAAAGCUAUUUAGGUAGCGCCUCGUGAACUCAUCUUCGGGGGUAGAGCACUGUUUCGGCUAGGGGGCCAUCCCGGCUUACCAACCCGAUGCAAACUACGAAUACCGAAGAAUGUUAUCACGGGAGACACACGGCGGGUGCUAACGUCCGUCGUGAAGAGGGAAACAACCCAGACCGCCAGCUAAGGUCCCAAAGUCAUGGUUAAGUGGGAAACGAUGUGGGAAGGCACAGACAGCCAGGAUGUUGGCUUAGAAGCAGCCAUCAUUUAAAGAAAGCGUAAUAGCUCACUGGUCGAGUCGGCCUGCGCGGAAGAUGUAACGGGGCUAAACCAUGCACCGAAGCUGCGGCAGCGACGCUUAUGCGUUGUUGGGUAGGGGAGCGUUCUGUAAGCCGUUGAAGGUGUCCUGUGAGGGGUGCUGGAGGUAUCAGAAGUGCGAAUGCUGACAUAAGUAACGAUAAAGCGGGUGAAAAGCCCGCUCGCCGGAAGACCAAGGGUUCCUGUCCAACGUUAAUCGGGGCAGGGUGAGUCGACCCCUAAGGCGAGGCCGAAAGGCGUAGUCGAUGGGAAACAGGUUAAUAUUCCUGUACUUGGUGUUACUGCGAAGGGGGGACGGAGAAGGCUAUGUCAGCCGGGCGACGGUUGUCCCGGUUUAAGCAUGUAGGCGGAGGUUCCAGGUAAAUCCGGUACCUUAUUAACGCUGAGGUGUGAUGACGAGGCACUACGGUGCUGAAGUGAUAAAUGCCCUGCUUCCAGGAAAAGCCUCUAAGCAUCAGGUAACACGAAAUCGUACCCCAAACCGACACAGGUGGUCAGGUAGAGAAUACCAAGGCGCUUGAGAGAACUCGGGUGAAGGAACUAGGCAAAAUGGUGCCGUAACUUCGGGAGAAGGCACGCUGAUAUGUAGGUGAAGUCCCUGCGGACGGAGCUGAAAUCAGUCGAAGAUACCAGCUGGCUGCAACUGUUUAUUAAAAACACAGCACUGUGCAAACACGAAAGUGGACGUAUACGGUGUGACGCCUGCCCGGUGCCGGAAGGUUAAUUGAUGGGGUUAGCGGCAACGCGAAGCUCUUGAUCGAAGCCCCGGUAAACGGCGGCCGUAACUAUAACGGUCCUAAGGUAGCGAAAUUCCUUGUCGGGUAAGUUCCGACCUGCACGAAUGGCGUAAUGAUGGCCAGGCUGUCUCCACCCGAGACUCAGUGAAAUUGAACUCGCUGUGAAGAUGCAGUGUACCCGCGGCAAGACGGAAAGACCCCGUGAACCUUUACUAUAGCUUGACACUGAACACUGGUCCUUGAUGUGUAGGAUAGGUGGGAGGCUUUGAAGCGUGGACGCCAGUCUGCGUGGAGCCAACCUUGAAAUACCACCCUUUAAUGGCUGGUGUUCUAACGUAGACCCGUAAUCCGGGUUGCGGACAGUGUCUGGUGGGUAGUUUGACUGGGGCGGUCUCCUCCCAAAGAGUAACGGAGGAGCACGAAGGUUGGCUAAUCCUGGUCGGACAUCAGGAGGUUAGUGCAAUGGCAUAAGCCAGCUUGACUGCGAGCGUGACGGCGCGAGCAGGUGCGAAAGCAGGUCAUAGUGAUCCGGUGGUUCUGAAUGGAAGGGCCAUCGCUCAACGGAUAAAAGGUACUCCGGGGAUAACAGGCUGAUACCGCCCAAGAGUUCAUAUCGACGGCGGUGUUUGGCACCUCGAUGUCGGCUCAUCACAUCCUGGGGCUGAAGUAGGUCCCAAGGGUAUGGCUGUUCGCCAUUUAAAGUGGUACGCGAGCUGGGUUUAGAACGUCGUGAGACAGUUCGGUCCCUAUCUGCCGUGGGCGCUGGAGAAUUGAGGGGGGCUGCUCCUAGUACGAGAGGACCGGAGUGGACGCAUCACUGGUGUUCGGGUUGUCAUGCCAAUGGCACUGCCCGGUAGCUAAAUGCGGAAAAGAUAAGUGCUGAAAGCAUCUAAGCACGAAACUUGCCCCGAGAUGAGUUCUCCCUGAGACUUUAAGUCUCCUGAAGGAACGUUGAAGACUACGACGUUGAUAGGUCGGGUGUGUAAGCGCAGCGAUGCGUUGAGCUAACCGAUACUAAUGAACCGUGAGGCUUAACCUU
rnacentral:rRNA from 1 species